UGCCCAGCAACUGCUAUCCCUACCUCCUCAUGGUACUGGCCGGAGUACGAGCAACCCUAGGGAAGAUCGGGUAAACAACCCCGGUGGGAACUUUGGUCGUAUGCUGACAGGGAAGG
rfam:Aedes aegypti strain Liverpool supercont1.261 genomic scaffold, whole genome shotgun sequence.